UACGUAGGGUGCAAGCGUUGUCCGGAAUUAUUGGGCGUAAAGAGCUCGUAGGCGGUCUGUCGCGUCGGCUGUGAAAACCCGGAGCUCAACUCCGGGCCUGCAGUCGAUACGGGCAAACUGGAGUGUUGCAGGGGAGACUGGAAUUCCUGGUGUAGCGGUGAAAUGCGCAGAUAUCAGGAGGAACACCGAUGGCGAAGGCAGGUCUCUGGGCCACUACUGACGCUGAGAAGCGAAAGCAUGGGGAGCGAACAGG
rnacentral:rRNA from 1 species